rnacentral:rRNA from 1 species
AGGGUUUGAUCAUGGCUCAGGACGAACGCUGGCGGUGCGCCUUAUGCAUGCAAGUCGAGCGAAGCUUUUCAGUAGUUUACUACAGAAAAUGACUGAGCGGCGAACGGGUGAGUAACGCGUGAGCAAUCUACCUUAGUUACAGGGAUAGCCCGAGGAAACUCGGAUUAAUACCUGAUAUUCUUUACAUUUCGCAUGAAAUCAAAAGGAAAGGUCAGCCGAACUAAGAUGAGCUCGCGUUCUAUCAGCUAGUUGGUGAGGUAAAAGCUCACCAAGGCAACGACGGAUAGCUGGUCUGAGAGGACGAUCAGCCACACUGGGACUGAGACACGGCCCAGACUCCUACGGGAGGCUGCAGCAGGGAAUAUUGCGCAAUGAGCGAAAGCUUGACGCAGCGACACCGCGUGUGGGAUGACGGAUCUAGGUUUGUAAACCACUUUCAGGAGGGAAGAAAAUGACGGUACCUCCACAAGAAGCCCCGGCCAACUACGUGCCAGCCGCCGCGGUAAUAC